rnacentral:rRNA from 1 species
GCCAGACUCCUACGGGAGGCAGCAGUGGGGAAUAUUGCACAAUGGGGGAAACCCUGAUGCAGCAACGCCGCGUGAGUGAAGAAGUAUUUCGGUAUGUAAAGCCCUAUCGGCAGGGAAGAAGGAGGACGGUACCUGACUAAGAAGCCCCGGCUAACUACGUGCCAGCAGCCGCGGUAAUACGUAGGGGGCAAGCGUUAUCCGGAUUUACUGGGUGUAAAGGGGGCGCAGACGGCAGCGCAAGCCAGGAGUGAAAGCCCGGGGCCCAACCCCGGGACUGCUCUUGGAACUGCGCGGCUGGAGUGCAGGAGGGGCAGGCGGAAUUCCUGGUGUAGCGGUGAAAUGCGUAGAUAUCAGGAGGAACACCGGUGGCGAAGGCGGCCUGCUGGACUGCGACUGACGUUGAGGCCCGAAAGCGUGGGGAGCAAACAGGAUUAGAUACCCUGGUACA